UACAGAGGGGGCAAGCGUUGUUCGGAAUUACUGGGCGUAAAGGGCGCGUAGGCGGCCUUCUAAGUCAGACGUGAAAUCCCUCGGCUCAACCGGGGAACUGCGUCUGAGACUGAAAGGCUUGAAUCCGGGAGAGGAAUGCGGAAUUCCAGGUGUAGCGGUGAAAUGCGUAGAUAUCUGGAGGAACACCGGUGGCGAAGGCGGCAUUCUGGACCGGCAUUGACGCUGAGGCGCGAAAGCCAGGGGAGCAAACGGG
rnacentral:rRNA from 1 species